CUGUAGCAGUAAUAUCACAUCCGCAUAUUUUAUAUUUUGAUAUAAAGUAAGUUAGACGAUGGUAUUUCUAUUAUAAUGUGCCAGAUCAGGGUUAUACAUAUUUUCCCUAGCUAUUAUAUACAAGAGGGACGAAAGAUACCAAAGGGACAGUCAAACUCAUAAAUCUAAAAUAAACUGACAACGCCAUGGCUAAAAAUGAAGAAGAAAAACAGACAAACAAUGGUACAAAUGACUCAUAAAAUGGUCUGCUGAAUCUUGAAAUGCGUAAAGUUUUUUUUGUAAUAAAUCUUAGUAUCGUUUAAAUAUUGUCGUUGUGAAUGUUCUUGCAAUAUUGGCUAAUGGACCUUAGUCAUCUGUUUCAAUCAGUGUUUGAUUUCCAACCUUUUAAAGGUUAAACUAAUAUAGACUAUGCACAGUAAUUUUGAAGACUGUAUCAAAAUGAAAAACGAAAAACGGAAACGCUUCUGUUUUUCGUUUUAAGUUUAUGAAAAAAAAUAUGUUUUCUUGUUUUUCGGUUUUUGUUUUUUCAAUAUAAGAUUGAAGAAUAUGUGCUGUCAUGACAUAUCAUGUCAACAUAAAAAAGAAAUUGUGUAAGCUUUACGUUGAAAAGUUAACAAUUUACAUUAUUCAAUUUGUUUGUACAUAAUGAUCUGUCUUGAUAACAAAUUCAUAACAAUGUUGACAUUUUUUUUAGACGUUAAGAAGAUUCCAGUGGUGAACAAGCUUCAAAUAGUAUAUGCAGUUCUAUCAUACCCUCACCAAAAUCCAUCAAAGUAUAAUUUAUGUUGCAAGAUACAAGAUACAAUUGAUAGAGUGUGCUGCUUUCCAUUGUAUUAUGACAAGAAGGGCAUGUUUUUCCUGUUGUGCUUUAUAUUUCCCCUAGUCAUUGUAGUGUAUGUCAUAUGCAUAGUUUUGUUUGUAGCAUAUUUCGUUGGUACUCUAUUUACUCUACUUCUGUCAUAUUUGUGCAAUAGAGAAGACGACUUUUCGUGCAUUUUUACUUGGCCAUGUAGAUUGUGUAAAAAUGAACACGAUUGUUCCGAAUAUAUUGUGUGUCGAAAAUUUUUAGGAUGGCAUAUAUGCACAUUUAUAGUCAUCGUAGCUGGUUUCCAUGCAUUACAAGGAUGGAAGUUGUACAGCAUAUAAACACAUUAUGUUGACUUCUUUCUCAUGGACUGCGUGUCCCUCAUUGCACUUAUACUAUAUACAAAAAGAUGAACACACGAAUCGCUUUUCAUUCAUCUCUUAAUUUAC
rnacentral:lncRNA from 1 species